UCCCAGGUGGCUCAGAUGGUAAAGAAUCUGCCUGCAGAGCAGGAGACCCAGGUUGGAUUCUUGGAUUGGGAA
rfam:TPA: Bos taurus chromosome 15, whole genome shotgun sequence.